rnacentral:rRNA from 1 species
CCUACGGGGGGCUGCAGUAACGAAUCUUCCGCAAUGCACGCAAGUGUGACGGAGCGACGCCGCGUGGAGGACGAAGUCCUUCGGGAUGUAAACUCCUGUCAGGGGUUACCAAGUUCUGAGGAGCCCCAGAGGAAGGCACGGCUAACUCUGUGCCAGCAGCCGCGGUAAGACAGAGGUGCCGAGCGUUAGGCGGAAUCACUGGGCUUAAAGCGUGUGUAGGCGGACCGUUAAGUACCCGCGUGAAAUCCCCCGGCUCAACCGGGGAACGGCCGGGUAUACUGGCGGUCUUGAGCGGUCUAGGGGCCACCGGAACAGGCGGUGGAGCGGUGAAAUGCGUAGAUAUCGCCUGGAACGCCCGCGGUGAAAACGGGUGGCUGGGGACCUGCUGACGCUGAGACACGAAAGCCAGGGGAGCGAACGGGAUUAGAUACCCCAGUAGU